CGCUUAGUGCGCCAGUUAAAGCUGGCGGAGGAUAGUCGAUGAAAGUUCGAUACUGGUAAGAAAUGGCGAAUCAACCAGCCCCCGAGUCAUGCACGUUGCACCGUGAGGUGCAGGGUGAAGCGUUGACAGGGGAAACCGAUGGGCCAGCCAUUGAGCCGCGUAAUCAGAAAUCCGGGACGCCGAUGCUGUUAAGCGAAGCAGAAGGCAAUACGGGGCAUGGCGUUAUACGCCAGUCAUGCCCUGGUCCUGCGCGGUCGGAGACCCUGCGCACGUCGGGAAGUCCUUCGCACAGAAACUGGGAGAUCUCAGUGAUGCCCGGUGCGCAUGCACUGGGCGGAGCAGGCAAGGCCAAAAGCUGUAACCCUGCUGUCUACGUCGCUGAGAAGUCGGAUACGUCCGUAGUACCUGAGAAACCGUCGAACAAAGGGGCUAGCCCUGCGGAGAGGGUGGAGGAAAGGGGCGUAGCCAAGGGGAACACCGACAAGAACCCCACGCCCCGGACGCUGAGCCGGAGCAGUUGCGUGUCGAUGGGACUUGAAGGUGUACGUGAAGCAGCCCGUAGGGACAAGGGUAUGCAGUUCACGGCAUUGUUGCACCACAUCACACCGCAACUGUUGGCGCAGAGCUUCUACGCACUUCGCCGCGACGCGGCGGUGGGAGUGGACGGUAUGUCGUGGCGAGAAUACGAAGAAGACCUCCACCAGAGGGUGGGCAAGUUGCACGCACGGCUCCACAGAGGAGCCUAUCGGGCAACGCCGUCACGGCGGGUAUAUAUCCCCAAAGCUGAUGGCAGGCAGCGGCCACUGGGUAUUGCCUCUUUGGAGGACAAGAUCGUACAGCAGGCAGUCGUCACCGUUCUGAAUGCGAUCUAUGAGGAGGAUUUCCAGGGGUUCUCGUAUGGGUUUCGGCCGGGACGAAGCCAGCACGAUGCGCUGGAUGCGUUGACGGUCGCGCUCAAGAGCCAGAAGGUGAACUGGAUACUGGACGCGGACAUCACGUCGUUCUUUGACGAGAUCGACCAUGAAUGGAUGCUGAUGUUUCUGGGGCACCGAAUUGCAGACCGACGCAUGCUCGGACUCAUCUGCAAAUGGCUUCAGGCGGGAGUAAUGGAGGAUGGCCGUAGGUUGGCUGCGACCAAGGGGACUCCCCAAGGCGCAGUGAUAUCGCCGUUGCUGGCGAAUAUCUAUCUUCACUACGUGCUGGAUCUGUGGGCAAGGCAGUGGCGCCAACGGCAUGCCCGUGGCGAGAUGAUUGUUGUGCGCUACGCGGACGACAGCGUGGUGGGUUUCAGGACGCAAUGGCAGGCGCAGCGUUUCCUGGUGCAGUUGCAGGAACGCAUGGCCAGGUUCGGUCUAUCUCUUAAUGCCUCGAAAACACGGCUGAUCGAGUUCGGUCGCUUUGCUGUACAGAAUCGCAGGCGGCAAGGGCUGGGCAAACCGGAGACGUUUGAUUUCCUGGGCUUCACUCAUUGCUGUAGUACCAACAGAAGCGGGGGAUUUCAAAUCCUGCGGCUGACGGUCAAGAAGCGGAUGCGUGCGACACUGCAAGCCAUCCGGAUAGCACUGAAUCGCCGGCGACAUGAGCCGAUCCGAGUCGUAGGUCAAUGGCUCGGCAGUGUGGUUGGAGGAUAUUUCAACUACCACGCCGUGCCGGGAAACCUGAUCCGUCUUGACGGUUUUCGGGUGGCGGUUUGCCGUCUUUGGCGGCAAGCCCUCAAACGGCGCAGCCAGCGUAACCGGCUCCAGUGGUCGCGCUAUGGACGCCUUGCAGACCUCUAUAUACCAAGACCCAGAACUGCACAUCCUUACCCUGAGGAGCGCUUCGCGUCACGUACCUGAGGCAGGAGCCGUAUGCGGUAGUUCCGCACGUACGGAUCUGUGCGGGGGGUGGCAGGUAACUGCCAUUCCUACCGCGAC
rnacentral:autocatalytically_spliced_intron from 1 species